UGGGGAAUUUUGGACAAUGGGGGCAACCCUGAUCCAGCCAUUCCGCGUGAGUGAAGAAGGCCUUCGGGUUGUAAAACUCUUUCGGCAGGAACGAAACGGUGGUUACUAAUAUUAGCCACUAAUGACGGUACCUGAAGAAGAAGCACCGGCUAACUACGUGCCAGCAGCCGCGGUAAUACGUAGGGUGCGAGCGUUAAUCGGAAUUACUGGGCGUAAAGCGUGCGCAGGCGGCUUUGUAAGACAGAUGUGAAAUCCCCGGGCUUAACCUGGGAACUGCAUUUGAAACUGGCGAGCUAGAGUUUGAGAGAGGUAAGUGGAAUUUCAGGUGUAGCGGUGAAAUGCGUAGAGAUCGGGAGGAACACCUAUGGCGAAAGCAGGCACCUGGCACAUUACUGACGCUGAGCUGCGAAAGCUAGGGGAGCAAACAGG
rnacentral:rRNA from 1 species